rnacentral:tRNA from 1 species
GCGGGUAUAGCUUAAUGGUAGAGCAAUAGGUUUCCAACCUAUCGACGAGAGUUCGAUUCUCUCUACCCGCUCCA